GAUGAACGCUAGCGGCAGGCUUAACACAUGCAAGUCGAGGGGCAGCGCGAGUAGCAAUACUUGGCGGCGACCGGCGCAAGGGUGCGUAACGCGUGAGCAACAUGCCCGUAUCAGGGGGAUAAUCCAGGGAAACUUGGUCUAAUACCCCAUAGUAAUUUCGUAAGGCAUCUUAUGGGAUUUAAAGCUUUGGUGGAUACGGAUUGGCUCGCGUGACAUUAGCUGGAUGGUAAGGUAACGGCUUACCAUGGCAAUGAUGUCUAGGGGUUCUGAGAGGAAGGUCCCCCACACUGGAACUGAGACACGGUCCAGACUCCUACGGGAGGCAGCAGUGAGGAAUAUUGGACAAUGGAUGGAAAUCUGAUCCAGCCAUGCCGCGUGAAGGAAGAAUGUCCUAUGGAUUGUAAACUUCUUUUGUAUGGGAGCAAUAAGGUAUUCGUGAAUACUGAUGAGAGUACCAUACGAAUAAGCAUCGGCUAACUCCGUGCCAGCAGCCGCGGUAAUACGGAGGAUGCGAGCGUUAUCCGGAUUUAUUGGGUUUAAAGGGUGCGUAGGCGGUUUGAUAAGUCAGCGGUGAAAUAUUUCAGCUUAACUGGAAGGGUGCCGUUGAUACUGUCGAGCUUGAAUUUAGUUGCUGUGGGUGGAAUGUGUGGUGUAGCGGUGAAAUGCAUAGAUAUCACACAGAAUAUCGAUUGCGAAGGCAGCUCACAAAGCUAAUAUUGACGCUGAUGCACGAAGGUGUGGGGAUCAA
rnacentral:rRNA from 1 species